UUUGAAAAUGCCUGGCCCUACCACUAACCUAUUAAGCGUAAUAAUAUACUCAUUUUUAAUUUUUGUGGCCCUACUUUUAUAAUUGUUGGCCUCCCAUCAUUGGCCCUACCUAGAAAAAAUUCUGGUACCGCCACUGAAUGUAGCGUAGGUAUUUCAAUCUUUGUCGCAAAUUCAUUUCAAGGCGGGCCACGAUAAAACGCAGAAAAAUUAGUGGUGCCACAGUAUACGCGUCGCGGCCACCCACGUCCCGAAAUCACCCGACGGAUACCUAAACCGCGGGUGUAACGUAUAAGUGGACACGGACAGAGAAACAGCACAUCAGAUAACGCGCGAUGCGGCGCAGACGGAUCGUCAAGUGCGCCGGGUCGGCGGCCCAGGCUGCGAUGGCCGUGAUGUGCGUGAUCAACUUCGUGCUGACUCCCUACUUCGAGUGCAUACUGGACGGGGACAGCUGCGACGAACACGUGAGCCUGAUGGCCGGCAUAUACGCGCGGUCGGUGAGCUUCACGUGUCUGGUGUCGGUGGUCAUCGCGUGGCGCAAGUAUCGCGGCACCAUGGCUACGUACGUGGAGCGCACCGAACUGCACGACGCGUACACGGCGCCGGCCACGGGCGCGGACGCUGCCGACCGGCCGCGUUACGUCGGCCGCGCGACGUUCGACGGCGUCGUGUUGUACACGAACCUGUUGCUCAUCGUGCCCGUCAACGCGUUCCGUCUGUACCGGUUCGUGUCCGACGGCCGGCCGGCGCCCGUGCUCGUGUACUUCAGCUUCAUGUACUCGCAGAACCUGUACGUGUGUCUGUACGAGACGCACUUCGCGCGGCUGUUGUACGUGCUGUACACGAGGUUCGCGGACCUCAACCGGCAGAUGGAGGCCAUCGGCGAGCGGAUCGUGGACGGCCGGCGCGCGCGCGAAGAUCCGCCGCCCGGCCGCGACGGUGGUUGGAUACCGUACGACGGAGACGACGACCGCCGGCCGCCCUACCACUACUACUCGGCGGCCACCGGACAGCCGCUAGUGGACGCGAUCGAACGGUUCCGGAUCAGGCACAGGCUGAUCCGAGAGGCCGUGAACGCGCUCAAGCCCACGUUCGCCGUGCCCAUUGGCCUGUCGCUGUGCAACCUGUGCGUGAUGGCGCUGUUCGACGUCUACUACCACCUGAAGAACUCGGUCUAUCGACCCGCCGGGGACAUGGCCACCGUGUACAUAUUCCUGUGGCUCUCCCAGUACAUGUUCCGGUUUUUCGUCGUCACCAUGACGGUGGACAUCACCAUGAAACAGGCACAAAGCUCGAAAGAAACAAUAACGGACAUAAGCAGAUAUUGUUUAGAUAUUUGUACGAAAGAAGAGUUACAAAUAUUUUCAAAUCAAAUAUCUAGUACUGUAAUGGAAUUUUCGAUGUGUGAUCUCUUCUCCAUAAACGCUCGCCUCUUCACUUCUGCAGUGGGCGUCUGCAUUACGUAUUUAGUAAUAUUACUCCAGUUCAAAAUAAAGGUGGAUAAUGUGUAUUAGCAAACACGUUUAGAAUUCUAAUCUCUAUAAUACGCUUAGGGGAUUUUUUGAAAUAAAUAACAAUACAUCACGCGUAUACCAUCAGUUCUUAGAACAACAAAAAACAGUCAACUUAUUAUAACGCUGUGAAACAUAAUAUUUAUCUAAUAGAAUAAUGAUUUCAAAUAUAUUUGUGGAACAUGCACUUAUUAUAGCUAGGAAACGAGCGAAGCAAUAUUUCAAAAUAUAUUUAUAUUGUAUUAUUAGUACUUUUAUUUUAUAUUAUUAGAAAUACGGUGAAAUGAAUUGAUUUUUAACAAAUCAUUUCAUAUUUCAUACAUUGUAUAAUAAUUAUUAUAAUUUAAAUCAUAUUAUAUUAUUAGGUAUUAUUAAUUUAUAUAUAAGUCAAUGCCAACAUAUCUAGUAGAAUGGUAUACAUUUGUUAGUUGAAUAAAUAGCUUAAAAUAAGUCUAAAUAUUUUUGACUAUACUUCCGUUUUUUCGUAGUUUAUUUUUGUUUUAUCAAUAUAAUUAAAAAAAACAUCAUAAUUUUUACUUUUGACCUCUGAAAAUAACAAUCCAAUUUUCUAUCUGAAUCUACCCUCAAAAUUGAAUAUUUUGACUUCUGAAAUGUGAUAGCUGUCACAAAAAAAAAAAACAAACAUACAUGAAUACAUGAUUAUAAAACUAAAACAUUUAUUAUUUUGCUCGGAGUUUAAAAUUAUGAAAAAAUAAUUUUUUAAAUGUGUUCUAUACAUGGUUAGUACGCUAGUUUAGAACUAUUAUACCUACAUAGCUUAUAUAUUAUCAUAUAUUUCAUCGUAUUCUCGUAAACAUUUUUUAAAAUUUCUCAUAAAAAAAACCCAAUUUAUUUAUUUAGAAAAAUAGAAAAUAUUUAUGAUAUUUUAUUUAAUAAAUGAUUGUUAUUCGCCUCAUUGCGACUAUAUAGUAAGAAGUUCGUCAUCUGAAAAAGUAUAAUCUGCAAGAAGUAAAACAUUAAGAACGAUAAGAAAUUAAAAACAGUCAAUAUAUUAUAUUAUUGUUAUUACCCGUCAUGACGUGUAUAUUUCUUUUAGGAUAAAUCAUUAAAAUUUUAUUACACUACGUCAUGACGUGUAUAUUUUUUUCGGAUAAAUCGCUAAAAUUUCCAAUUCGAUAGAAAUCAUCGUUUUGUCUCUGCACGAUGACCAAAAGAAUUUUUGUUUAGAACCAAGUACGCGUUAAUGACUGACGACUGUACAAAUAUGUGCAGGUCAUACGCGCGAUACGCGUUUGUUUUUGACGUUCUGAUGGAAUUUCGUACCACUUUCCGACAUAUCAUUAAAAUUAUCUCGUCGGUGAAUGUUUAAAUAAUGUAAUACGUAUGUGUUUCAAUAAAGUUAGUACAUAUAAGACGUAUUAUAUAUUUGUAUGUGUAAUAAUAAUAUAAUAUUAUACUACGAUACAGUUGCUA